rnacentral:tRNA from 2 species
GGGAAUGUAGCUGAGAUGGUUAUAGCGUCAGGUUGUUGGCAAUGCCUGCCGAAGGCAUAGCCCUGAAGACGCGGGUUCGAUUCCUGCCCUUCCCA